ACAAAGGCAUCCCCUAGUAGCGGCGAGUGAGCGGGAAGAGCUCAAAUUUGUAAUCUGGCGUCUUUCAGGCGUCCGAGUUGUAAUCUAUAGAAGUGUUUUCCGUGCUGGACCAUGUCCAAGUCCCUUGGAACAGGGUAUCAAAGAGGGUGACAAUCCCGUACUUGACAUGACCACCAGUGCUCUGUGAUACACUUUCUACGAGUCGAGUUGUUUGGGAAUGCAGCUCAAAAUGGGUGGUAAAUUCCAUCUAAAGCUAAAUAUUGGCGAGAGACCGAUAGCGAACAAGUACCGUGAGGGAAAGAUGAAAAGCACUUUGGAAAGAGAGUUAAACAGUACGUGAAAUUGUUGAAAGGGAAACGAUUGAAGUCAGUCGUGUUCAUUGGACUCAGCCGGUUUUCGGUGUAUUUCCUUUGAACGGGUCAACAUCAGUUUUGUCCGGUGGAUAAAGGCAGGAAGAAAGUGGCUCCCUCGGGAGUGUUAUAGCUUUCUGUCACAUACACUGGAGGAGACUGAGGACUGCAGCUCGCCUUUUGGCCGGGGUUCGCCCACGUUCGAGCUUAGGAUGUUGACAUAAUGGCUUUAAACGACCCGUCUUAAC
rnacentral:rRNA from 1 species